GGGAGGGCGCCGGGGGGAGGAGGCGGGGCCGCGCCGCCCGCGCCGCGCUGGGCGCUCUCGGCCAAUGAGCGGCGUCCACAUGCCGCGGCGGCGGCGAGAGGGGAGGCAGCGGCCGAUAAAUGCUAUUAGAGCAGCCGCCGCGGAGCCGUCCCCGACGCCACCUCCUUCUCCUCCGCCGCAGUUUCCUCCGCCGCUGUCGGGGGUGCGGAGCUGAGGGACCUGAGCGAGCGCGCCGCGCACCGCCCCGCCGGUUGUCCUCUCUCGGUCCGUCCCGCCCUCAGGGGUCGGCCGUGCUCCCCCUCCUCCGGCCCGGGCGGGGCUGCGAUUCACCUCAGGAGAGUGGGGAGGGGGCUCGGGGCCGCGGCCUGCGCUCUCGGCGGGCAGUUGAGGGCGAAGGAGGCCCUCCCUUCUGACGAGGGGAGGGAGGGUCGGGAGCCCCCCCAGCCACCCGGCAGCCAGGGCCGGGCUGCCAGAGGGGCGGUUGUCUGGGGGAGGGGGCGCGGGGUGAUUCAGCGCCCGGCGAGGCGGAAGCGGCCGGAGGAGGAGGAGGAGGGGUGAAGCCAGUCCGCGUCUGGGCGCCCGGGGUGGCACGAGCCCGCGGCCCGAGUGCGAGGCCGAGGCGAGGAGGCCGCGGGGACGGGAGGUGAGGCCGGUCCGGCCCCCCGAAGCCAUGGAGAACGCGCACACAAAGACGGUGGAGGAGGUGCUGGGCCACUUCGGCGUCAACGAGAGCACCGGGCUGAGCCUGGAGCAGGUCAAGAAGCUGAAAGAGAAAUGGGGCUCCAACGAGUUACCUGCUGAAGAAGGAAAAACCUUGCUGGAACUUGUGAUUGAGCAGUUUGAAGACUUACUAGUUAGAAUUUUAUUACUGGCAGCAUGUAUAUCUUUUGUUUUGGCUUGGUUUGAAGAAGGUGAAGAAACAAUUACAGCCUUUGUAGAACCUUUUGUAAUUUUACUUAUAUUAGUAGCCAAUGCAAUUGUGGGUGUAUGGCAGGAAAGAAAUGCUGAAAAUGCAAUUGAAGCCCUUAAGGAGUAUGAGCCUGAAAUGGGCAAAGUAUAUCGACAGGACAGAAAGAGUGUACAGCGGAUUAAAGCUAAAGACAUAGUUCCUGGCGAUAUUGUAGAAAUUGCUGUUGGUGACAAAGUUCCUGCUGAUAUAAGAUUAACUUCCAUCAAAUCUACAACUCUAAGAGUUGACCAGUCGAUUCUCACAGGUGAAUCUGUCUCUGUCAUCAAGCACACUGACCCUGUCCCUGACCCACGGGCUGUCAACCAAGAUAAGAAGAACAUGCUCUUUUCUGGUACAAACAUUGCUGCUGGGAAAGCUAUGGGAGUGGUAGUGGCAACUGGAGUUAACACUGAAAUUGGCAAGAUCCGGGAUGAAAUGGUGGCAACAGAACAGGAGAGAACACCUCUUCAGCAGAAACUAGAUGAGUUUGGGGAACAGCUUUCCAAAGUCAUAUCCCUUAUUUGCAUUGCCGUCUGGAUCAUAAACAUUGGGCACUUCAAUGACCCAGUUCAUGGAGGCUCCUGGAUCAGAGGUGCUAUUUACUACUUUAAAAUUGCAGUGGCCUUGGCUGUAGCAGCCAUUCCUGAAGGUCUGCCUGCUGUUAUCACCACCUGCCUGGCUCUUGGAACUCGCAGAAUGGCAAAGAAGAAUGCCAUUGUUCGAAGCCUCCCUUCUGUGGAAACCCUCGGUUGUACUUCUGUUAUCUGCUCAGACAAGACUGGUACACUUACAACAAACCAGAUGUCAGUCUGCAGGAUGUUCAUUCUGGACAGAAUUGAAGGUGAUACUUGUUCCCUUAAUGAGUUUACCAUAACUGGAUCAACAUAUGCACCUAUUGGAGAAGUGCAUAAAGAUGAUAAGCCAGUAAACUGUCACCAGUAUGAUGGACUUGUAGAAUUAGCAACAAUUUGUGCUCUUUGUAAUGACUCUGCCUUGGAUUACAAUGAGGCAAAGGGUGUAUAUGAAAAAGUUGGAGAAGCUACAGAGACCGCUCUAACUUGCCUGGUAGAGAAGAUGAAUGUAUUUGAUACCGAAUUGAAGGGUCUUUCUAAAAUAGAACGUGCAAAUGCCUGCAACUCGGUCAUAAAACAGCUGAUGAAAAAGGAAUUUACUCUAGAAUUUUCACGUGAUAGAAAAUCAAUGUCGGUUUACUGUACACCGAACAAACCAAGUAGGACAUCGAUGAGCAAGAUGUUUGUGAAGGGCGCUCCUGAAGGUGUCAUUGACAGGUGCACCCAUGUUCGAGUUGGAAGUACCAAGGUCCCUCUGACCCCUGGAGUCAAACAGAAGAUCAUGUCUGUCAUUCGGGAGUGGGGCAGCGGCAGCGACACACUGCGAUGCCUGGCCCUGGCCACUCACGACAACCCACUGAGACGAGAAGAAAUGCACCUUGAGGACUCUGCCAACUUUAUUAAAUAUGAGACCAAUCUGACAUUUGUCGGCUGCGUGGGCAUGCUGGACCCCCCGAGGAUUGAGGUGGCCUCUUCUGUGAAGCUGUGCCGCCAGGCAGGCAUCCGCGUCAUCAUGAUCACAGGGGACAACAAGGGCACUGCCGUGGCCAUCUGCCGCCGUAUUGGCAUCUUCGGGCAGGAUGAGGACGUGACGUCAAAGGCUUUUACAGGUCGGGAGUUUGAUGAACUCAGCCCCUCAGCCCAGAGAGAUGCCUGCUUGAAUGCCCGCUGUUUUGCUCGAGUUGAACCUUCCCACAAGUCUAAAAUCGUAGAAUUUCUUCAGUCUUUUGAUGAGAUUACAGCUAUGACUGGUGACGGUGUGAAUGAUGCUCCUGCUCUCAAGAAAGCCGAGAUUGGCAUUGCUAUGGGCUCUGGCACUGCAGUGGCUAAGACUGCCUCCGAGAUGGUUCUGGCAGAUGACAACUUCUCCACCAUCGUGGCUGCCGUCGAGGAGGGGCGGGCAAUAUACAACAACAUGAAGCAGUUCAUCCGCUACCUCAUCUCGUCUAAUGUGGGGGAAGUUGUCUGUAUUUUCCUGACAGCAGCCCUUGGAUUUCCUGAGGCUUUAAUUCCUGUCCAGCUGCUCUGGGUCAAUCUAGUGACAGAUGGCCUGCCUGCCACUGCACUGGGGUUCAACCCUCCUGAUCUGGACAUCAUGAGUAAGCCACCUCGGAACCCAAAAGAACCGCUGAUCAGUGGGUGGCUGUUUUUCCGUUACCUGGCUAUUGGCUGUUACGUCGGUGCCGCUACUGUGGGUGCUGCUGCGUGGUGGUUCAUUGCUGCUGAUGGCGGUCCAAGAGUAUCCUUCUACCAGCUGAGUCAUUUCCUGCAGUGUAAAGAGGACAAUCCGGACUUUGAAGGAGUAGAUUGUGAAGUCUUUGAGUCUCCUUACCCAAUGACCAUGGCGCUCUCUGUUCUAGUAACCAUAGAAAUGUGUAACGCCCUCAACAGCUUGUCUGAAAACCAGUCCUUGCUGAGGAUGCCCCCUUGGGAGAACAUCUGGCUCGUGGGCUCCAUCUGCCUGUCCAUGUCGCUCCACUUCUUGAUCCUCUAUGUGGAACCCUUGCCACUCAUCUUCCAGAUCACACCGCUGAAUGUGACCCAGUGGCUGAUGGUGCUGAAAAUCUCCUUGCCUGUGAUUCUCAUGGACGAGACGCUCAAGUUUGUGGCCCGCAACUACCUGGAACCCGGUAAAGAGUGUGUGCGUCCCGCCACCAAAUCCUGCUCGCUCUCGGCAUGCACCGAUGGGAUUUCUUGGCCGUUUGUGCUGCUCAUAAUGCCCCUGGUGGUCUGGGUCUAUAGCACAGACACUAACUUUAGUGAUAUGUUCUGGUCUUGACUGACAGUUUUCCAUAAAGAAGAUGUUUAACUUAAUCAAUUAAUUUUUUAUUGUUUAAAGCAACUGUCUAUUUCUGCUGAAUUUUCACAUGAACAUAUUGGCUGGUGACGGAGGUUUCAUACUCUAGAUUUUGUUUUGCUUUUUCUGACUCCAGUGGGGCGAGAUUUUCCUUUUUUAUACACAUAAUUAAAGUGUCCAUUGACAUGUACAGAGAACUAACACUAUUUUAUGCAAAUAUUUUUUUGUAGAUGAAAAAGCAUGUACAGUGUUCUGUUUAAUACUCAUCCUUGUAUAAAAAAAUAGUUGAGCCAGCAGACAUUGUCAGCAAAUUAAUUGGCAGCAGAUUUUAGGAAAUGAAUGUGUGUGGUUUUUUCUAAAACUAAAUAGCAUGUAUUGUGUCUUUUGCAUGAUAAUCUGGAUUUAAUUUGAUAUCACAGUCUAAUUUUUAUUCAUUAAGCCAAUUUUUCUGCACUGAGCAGAGUCCUGCUACCUCAGUCAGUAUUUUUUGGUUUGCCACUUCCCUCACCCCCUUCCCCCAGCCCUCUGUUCACCCCACCCCACCCACAUCCCCAGCCCCACUCGGCUUCUUCUGUAGGAUUUUGAUGGUCCUGUUUACAUCAGUCGUUUUAAUAAGAGGUAUGCCUGUUCUCGCUUGUGCAGAAAACAUUGUUCCAGAUUCGAUCGACUGGGUUUAUGUCCCUUCACAUAGUUUUUAAGGUUAUUUAUUUAAAUGUCUAAUGUAUUUUAUUGUAACAGACAUUGUUUUGCGCCAACAUUGCCUAUUUCAGUGGCACUUACAAUCUAGUAUAAAAAGUAAAAUAAAACAUUUUAAGUGGACAGAGAAAAAUAACGGUCUUGUUUUUAACUCUUAAGUGGCUUGCCUUGAUCUAAUAGGUAUGUCCAGCUUUCUAUUAAGUUCUUAGCUUAGAACUUGAGUUUUACUGUGCUUGAGGGGAAGAAGGAUCCUGUUCUGCUGCAUUAGGUAGUUGUAGGAAUUAUAUUUUUUAAUGUAUAGGCACUAAUUGUCAUCUGUGGUAUACAUUUUAUGCUAGUUUCUGCUGGCCUGUUCUAGCCUAGUGUAGAGAACAAACAUAAGGGCAAGUGUGUGUGUGUGUGUGUGUAUGUGCGUGUGUUUUGUAAAAUCUGUAAAUAGCACAUGACCAAAUGAACAUAUUGUAUAGAACUAUUUUUAUUUGAAUGUGGCACUAACCACCACCAUCUUUGCGCAUGUUCGAGAUCAGUCUUACCAACAGUAUAUAAGUCAUUAACAGUCCUAACUCUGGUGUUUUCCUCCAAUGCCUUCCAACAUCCAUCAACUAAUCAAUACUGGAGUAACCACUUCCUAAACCAUUUUGCAGAAAUGUAAGGGUAUUCGGUUGCGUGCAUGUGCGUUUUUAGCAACACAUCUACCAACCCUCUGCAUGAUUGAUGUUGGGGGGGGAGAAAAGUAGAAAAAAAGUUCCCAACUCAUUGUGUGUUAUGUGGAGGAAAUGUGUAUUACCAAUGGGGUUUUUAGCUUUUAAAUCAAAAUAUUACAAAUGUACAAUUUAGCUUAAGGAAUCAGAAAGCCUCUCCAGAGAAGUUUGGUUUCUUUGCUGCAAGAAUAAGGUUCUAAAACCUUAUCCAUGAACUUAGAAGCCAUCAGCCAAGUCACCACAUUUCUCUGUGCAAAAACAUCACAGCUUAUGUAAAUGUACAAUAUUCAGUUGUAAUGCAUGCUUUCAGUUGUAAGUAGCCAAUUUCUCUACAGUAACAUUGAAACAUGCUACUUUUUAAUUGGCCCUGUACAGUUUGCUUAUUUAUAAAUUCAUUAAAAACACUACAAGUGUUGAAUGGUUAAAUGUAGGCCUCCAGUUCAUAACUUUGGUUAUUUUUUUAGAGUGCAGACAGCUAUUUCGCACUGUAUUAAUUGUAACUUAUUUAAUGAAAGCAAAAGCAGUAGACAGAUGUUGGUGCAAUACAAAUAUUGUGAUGCAUUUAUCUUAAUAAAAUGCUCAAUGUCAAUUUAUCAACGCAUGUUUGACUUUAGACUGUAAAUAGAGAUCAGUUUGUUUCUUUCUGUGCUGGUAACAAUAAGUGUUGCACAGACAUGGUUUCAGGUAAAUAAAUCUAUUCUACGAUAAA